GAGCACGCCGCGUGAGUGAUGAAGGUUUUCGGAUCGUAAAGCUCUGUUGUUAGGGAAGAACAAGUACCGUUCGAAUAGGGCGGUACCUUGACGGUACCUAACCAGAAAGCCACGGCUAACUACGUGCCAGCAGCCGCGGUAAUACGUAGGUGGCAAGCGUUGUCCGGAAUUAUUGGGCGUAAAGGGCUCGCAGGCGGUUUCUUAAGUCUGAUGUGAAAGCCCCCGGCUCAACCGGGGAGGGUCAUUGGAAACUGGGGAACUUGAGUGCAGAAGAGGAGAGUGGAAUUCCACGUGUAGCGGUGAAAUGCGUAGAGAUGUGGAGGAACACCAGUGGCGAAGGCGACUCUCUGGUCUGUAACUGACGCUGAGGAGCGAAAGCGUGGGGAGCGAACAGGAUUAGAUACCCUGGUAGUCCACGCCGUAAACGAUGAGUGCUAAGUGUUAGGGGGUUUCCGCCCCUUAGUGCUGCCCCUAACGCAUUAAGCACUCCGCCUGGGGAGA
rnacentral:rRNA from 1 species